AUUGAACGCUGGCGGCAUGCUUUACACAUGCAAGUCGAACGGUAACAGGCCGCAAGGUGCUGACGAGUGGCGAACGGGUGAGUAAUGCAUCGGAACGUGCCCAGUCGUGGGGGAUAACGCAGCGAAAGCUGUGCUAAUACCGCAUACGAUCUGUGGAUGAAAGCGGGGGACCGUAAGGCCUCGCGCGAUUGGAGCGGCCGAUGUCAGAUUAGGUAGUUGGUGGGGUAAAGGCUCACCAAGCCGACGAUCUGUAGCUGGUCUGAGAGGACGACCAGCCACACUGGGACUGUGACACGGCCCAGACUCCUACGGGAGGCAGCAGUGGGGAAUUUUGGACAAUGGGCGCAAGCCUGAUCCAGCAAUGCCGCGUGCAGGAAGAAGGCCUUCGGGUUGUAAACUGCUUUUGUACGGAGCGAAAAGGCUUUCUCUAAUACAGGGGGUUCAUGACGGUACCGUAAGAAUAAGCACCGGCUAACUACGUGCCAGCAGCCGCGGUAAGAC
rnacentral:rRNA from 1 species